rfam:Clostridiales bacterium Nov_37_41 Ley3_66761_scaffold_1495, whole genome shotgun sequence.
GUACGGUUGAUGCGUCCCGUACCGAUCGGCGCAGCGGAAUAUAUAAAAACGGCUUUUUAAAACUGAAUUGCCGAAUGGCGAAGC